CGGGGUGUGGCGCAGUUGGUAGCGCGCAAGGCUGGGGGUCUUGAGGCCGCAGGUUCGAAUCCUGUCACCCCGACCA
rnacentral:tRNA from 2 species